UUCCUUUUGGUAAAAUCAAAGUUAAGCGACUCUUGUCUAGCCGACUGUCCCCAUUUUCCAGUUCGUGGAUCGAAUCUUCCAGAAAGGUUUAAUCCAUCCUCUUGGUGCAGGCCUGAUCUUGGACAACGUUAGCGUCAGAUGUACUUGUAUCUCCACUCAUUUUUGGUUUAACUAUUGAUAUAAAGCAAUGAUUAUGCUUCCA